AUCGCUUCUUGGCCUUUUGGCUAAGAUCAAGUGUAGUAUCUGUUCUUAUCAGUUUAAUAUCUGAUACAUCCUCUAUCUGAGGACAAUAUAUUAAAUGGGUUUGGGGAGGAGCGAGAAGGAACAGGAGCUUGUUGCAUCCACUCCACACAUCGACCUGGCAUCAUAGUACUUCCAGGAACGGUGCACCUCUU